rnacentral:rRNA from 1 species
AUUGAACGCUGGCGGCAUGCCUUACACAUGCAAGUCGAACGUGAAAGCGGGGCAACCCGCAAGUAGAGUGGCGGACGGGUGAGUAAUACAUCGGAACGUGUCCAGUAAUGGGGGAUAACCUAGCGAAAGUUAGGCUAAUACCGCAUACGAUCUGCGGAUGAAAGCGGGGGAUGCGGCACUAAAGGCUUUUGGCGAAGGUGGCCAAAGGUGAGUCAAGAGCUUUUAGUGCUGCACCUCGCGUUAUUGGAACGGCUGAUGUCUGAUUAGCUAGUUGGUGAGGUAAAGGCUUACCAAGGCGACGAUCAGUAGCUGGUCUGAGAGGACGGCCAGCCACACUGGGACUGAGACACGGCCCAGACUCCUACGGGAGCAGCAGUGGGAAUUUUGGACAAGUGGGGCAACCCUGAUCCAGCCAUGUCGCGUGAGUGAAGAAGGCC